GAUGAACGCUGGCGGCGUGCCUAAUACAUGCCAGUCGAGCGAACGGACGAGAAGCUUGCUCCUCUGAUGUUAGCGGCGGACGGGUGAGUAACACGUGGAUAACCUACCUAUAAGAAUGGGAUAACUUCGGGAAACCGGAGCUAAUACCGGAUGAUAUUUUGAACUGCAUGGUUCAAAAGUGAAAGACGCUCUUGCUGUCACUUAUAGAUGGCUCCGCGCUCCAUUAGCUAGUUGGUAAGGUAACGGCUUACCAAGGCAACGAUGCAUACCCGACCCGAACGGGUGAUCGGCCACACUGGAACUGAGACACGGUCCAGACUCCUACGGGAGGCAGCAGUAGGGAAUCUUCCGCGAUGGGCGAGAGCCUGACGGACCAACGCGGCGUGAGUGAUGAAGGUCUUCGGAUCGUAAAACUCUGUUAUUAGGGAAGAACAAAUGUGUAAGUAACUGUGCUGAUCUUGACGGUACCUAAUGAAAAAGCCACGGCUAACUACGUG
rnacentral:rRNA from 1 species